rnacentral:rRNA from 1 species
CCUACGGGUGGCAGCAGUGGGGAAUAUUGGACAAUGGGCGCAAGCCUGAUCCAGCCAUGCCGCGUGAGUGAUGAAGGCCCUAGGGUUGUAAAGCUCUUUUGUACGGGAAGAUAAUGACGGUACCGUAAGAAUAAGCCCCGGCUAACUUCGUGCCAGCAGCCGCGGUAAUACGAAGGGGGCUAGCGUUGCUCGGAAUCACUGGGCGUAAAGGGUGCGUAGGCGGGUUUUUAAGUCAGAGGUGAAAUCCUGGAGCUCAACUCCAGAACUGCCUUUGAUACUGGGAAUCUUGAGUAUGGAAGAGGUGAGUGGAACUGCGAGUGUAGAGGUGAAAUUCGUAGAUAUUCGCAAGAACACCAGUGGCGAAGGCGGCUCACUGGUCCAUAACUGACGCUGAGGCACGAAAGCGUGGGGAGCAAACAGGAUUAGAUACC